rnacentral:rRNA from 1 species
AUUGAACGCUGGCGGCAGGCCUAACACAUGCAAGUCGAACGAGUGGCGGACGGGUGAGUAACGUCUGGGAAACUGCCUGCUGGAGGGGGAUAACUACUGGAAACGGUAGCUAAUACCGCAAACCAUCGGAUGUGCCCAGAUGGGAUUAGCUAGUUGGUGGGGUAAAGGCUCACCUAGGCGACGAUCCCUAGCUGGUCUGAGAGGAUGACGAGCCACACCGGAACUGUGACACGGUCCAGACUCCUACGAGAGGCAGCAGUGGGGAAUAUUGCACAAUGGGCGCAAGCCUGAUGAAGCCAUGCCGCGUGUAUGAAGAGGGCCUUGGGGUUGUACAGUACUUUCAGCGGGGAGGCGUUACCCGCAGAAGAAGCACCGGCUAACUCCGUGCCAGCCGCCGCGGUAAUAC